rnacentral:rRNA from 1 species
AACGAACGCUGGCGGCAUGCCUAACACAUGCAAGUCGAACGAACCCUUCGGGGUUAGUGGCGCACGGGUGCGUAACGCGUGGGAAUCUGCCCUUUGCUUCGGAAUAACAGUGAGAAAUGACUGCUAAUACCGGAUGAUGUCUUCGGACCAGAGAUUUAUCUGCAAGGGAUGAGCCCGCGUAGUAUUAGGUAGUUGGUGGGGUGAAGGACUACCAAGCAGACGAUCCUUAGCUGGUCUGAGAGGAUGAUCAGCCACACUGGGACUGAGACACCGCCCAGACUCCUACGGGAGGCAGCAGUGGGGAAUAUUGGACAAUGGGCGCAAGCCUGAUCCAGCAAUGCCGCGUGAGUGAUGAAGGCCUUCGGGUCGUAAAGCUCUUUUACCAGGGAUGAUAAUGACAGUACCUGGAGAAUAAGCUCCGGCUAACUCCGUGCCAGCCGCCGCAGUAAGAC